AUGUAUAUACUGUAUUCUAUCCUAUUCUACUGUAUCUCAGUCUAUGCAUUACUCAUCUCAUAUGUAUAUACUGUAUUCUAUCCUAUUCUACUGUAUCUCAGUCUAUGCAUUACUCAUCUCAUAUGUAUAUACUGUAUUCUAUCCUAUUCUACUGUAUCUCAGUCUAUGCAUUACUCAUCUCAUAUGUAUAUACUGUAUUCUAUCCUAUUCUACUGUAUCUCAGUCUAUGCAUUACUCAUCUCAUAUGUAUAUACUGUAUUCUAUUCUACUGUAUCUCAGUCUAUGCAUUACUCAUCUCAUAUGUAUAUACUGUAUUCUAUCCUAUUCUACUGUAUCUCAGUCUAUGCAUUACUCAUCUCAUAUGUAUAUACUGUAUUCUAUCCUAUUCUACUGUAUCUCAGUCUAUGCAUUACUCAUCUCAUAUGUAUAUACUGUAUUCUAUCCUAUUCUACUGUAUCUCAGUCUAUGCAUUACUCAUCUCAUAUGUAUAUACUGUAUUCUAUCCUAUUCUACUGUAUCUCAGUCUAUGCAUUACUCAUCUCAUAUGUAUAUACUGUAUUCUAUCCUAUUCUACUGUAUCUCAGUCUAUGCAUUACUCAUCUCAUAUGUAUAUACUGUAUUCUAUCCUAUUCUACUGUAUCUCAGUCUAUGCAUUACUCAUCUCAUAUGUAUAUACUGUAUUCUAUCCUAUUCUACUGUAUCUCAGUCUAUGCAUUACUCAUCUCAUAUGUAUAUACUGUAUUCUAUCCUAUUCUACUGUAUCUCAGUCUAUGCAUUACUCAUCUCAUAUGUAUAUACUGUAUUCUAUCCUAUUCUACUGUAUCUCAGUCUAUGCAUUACUCAUCUCAUAUGUAUAUACUGUAUUCUAUCCUAUUCUACUGUAUCUCAGUCUAUGCAUUACUCAUCUCAUAUGUAUAUACUGUAUUCUAUCCUAUUCUACUGUAUCUCAGUCUAUGCUGCUCUGACGUCGCUCGUCCAUAUAUUUAUAUAUUCUUAAUUCCCUUCCUUUACAUUGUGUGUAUUGUUAGAUAUUAG
rnacentral:lncRNA from 1 species